GCGGGUAUAGCUUAAAAAGAGCAAAAGAUUGAAGAUCUUUAGGUGAAUUUUCUGCUUGCA
rnacentral:tRNA from 1 species